rfam:Rattus norvegicus chromosome 12, whole genome shotgun sequence.
GGGGAUUUAGCUCAGUGGUAGAGCGCUUGCCUAGGAAAUGCAAGGCCCUGGGUUCGGUCCCCAGCUCCG